AAGUCGUAACAAGGUCUCCGUUGGUGAACCAGCGGAGGGAUCAUUACAGAGUUGAAAAACUCCCCUAAACCAUUGUGAACCUACCACUAAACAGUUGCUUCGGCGGGUGGGCGCCCCUCCUCAGGGAAGGGCGCCCCGCUAGACCGCCCGCCGGAGGUACCCAAAACUCUUGUUUAACUAAAAGGCCUCUCUGAGUACUGUACUUAAAUAAGUCAAAACUUUCAACAACGGAUCUCUUGGUUCUG
rnacentral:misc_RNA from 1 species